AGGUCAGACCAGGAAGACAGAGGCCAAACCCAGCAUCACACUUUGACCUCCCCGGGAACACAGUGGCUCCUGGGAAAUAACCACUAAAGUCUUGAAAUGUCUUGAGUGAUUGGAGGACCUUUAUUUUACACACCUGAUGCCUUAUGCUGAUGAGAUGACUCAGCAGGGGAUGGCCAGGCCAGAAAGACCAAAACUAUACCCUGAGGUUUGAGUUUCUGAGCCAGGUGACAUCAUCCUCCAGCUUGGCCGGCCUCUGCCUGGGAGCCUCUGGUGUGAAAGACAUGGAGGGCAGUGCUUGCCUUUCCCAUGUCUAGGAGUUUGCCUAAAUCUUCAAAGAUAUGUGAGGCAUGCCUAGAACAUCAUCAUCAGGAAUGCUGGUCCUUCAAUUUGUUUUUUUGAAUUGAAGUGUAGUUUACAGUGAUCAAGUUGAAAAUAAGGCCCUGCAUGAAAGCUAACUAUUAAAAGGGUGUGGGCACAGGAGCAACCAACACAGACCCCACAGUAAUCCCAAACCUAUGCUAAGAGGGAGCACUUUCAUCCCUCCAAACCUGUGCUAAGAGGGACACCUCCAUCCUUCCAGCCUGUGCUAAGAGGGAACACUUCCAUCCUUCCAAACCUACGAUAGGAGGGAGCACCUCCAUCCUUCCAAACCUGUGCUAAGAGGGAUACCUCCAUCCUUCCAAGCCUGUGCUAAGAGGGAACACCUCCAUCCUUCCAAACCUAUGAUAGGAGGGAGCACCUCCAUCCUUCCAAACCUGUGCUAAGAGGGAGCACCUCCAUCCUUCCAAACCGUGCUGAGGGAGCACCUCCAUCCUUCCAAACCUAUGAUAGGAGGGAGCACCUCCACCCUUCUAAACCUGUGCUAAGAGGGAGCAUGUCCAUCCUUCCAAACCUGUGUUAAGAGGGAGCACCUCCAUCCUUCCAUCUGG
rnacentral:lncRNA from 1 species